rnacentral:rRNA from 1 species
UACAGAGGUCCCAAGCGUUAUUCGGAUUGAUUGGGCGUAAAGGGUGCGCAGACGGCAUGUUAAGUCAACUGUUAAAUUUCCCGGCUUAACCGGGAGCAAGCGGUAGAAACUGGCAAGCUAGAGGGUGGAAGAGAGAAGUGGAAUUCUCGGAGUAGCGGUAAAAUGCGUAGAUCUCGAGGGGAACACCGAUGGCGAAGGCAGCUUCUUGGUCCAUUUCUGACGUUCAUGCACGAAAGCGUUGGGGAGCAAACAGG